rnacentral:rRNA from 2 species
UUGGAGGGCAAGUCUGGUGCCAGCAGCCGCGGUAAUUCCAGCUCCAAUAGCGUAUAUUAAAGUUGUUGCAGUUAAAAAGCUCGUAGUUGAAUUUCGGGGUCAGUAGGUUGGUCAUGCCACUGGUAUGUACUGAUCUUACUGAUUCCUCCUUCCUGAUGAACCGUAAUGCCAUUAAUUUGGUGUUGCGGGGAGACUGGACUGUUACUUUGAAAAAAUUAGAGUGUUUAAAGCAGGCUAACGCUUGAAUACAUUAGCAUGGAAUAAUGAAAUAGGACGUUCGAUCCUAUUUUGUUGGUUUCUAGGAUAGACGUAAUGAUUAAUAGGGAUAGUUGGGGGCAUUAGUAUUCAAUUGUCAGAGGUGAAAUUCUUGGAUUUAUUGAAGACUAACUACUGCGAAAGCAUUUGCCAAGGAUGUUUUCAUUAAUCAAGAACGAAAGUUAGGGGAUCGAAGACGAUCAGAUACCGUCGUAGUCUUAACCAUAAACUAUGCCGACUAGGGAUCGGAUGAUGUUAAUUUUUUAAUGACUCAUUCGGCGCCUUACGGGAAAC